AACGAACGCUGGCGGCAUGCCUAACACAUGCAAGUCGAACGAGACCUUCGGGUCUAGUGGCGCACGGGUGCGUAACGCGUGGGAACCUGCCCUUAGGUUCGGAAUAACUCCCCGAAAGGGGUGCUAAUACCGGAUAAUGUCUUCGGACCAAAGAUUUAUCGCCUUUGGAUGGGCCCGCGUUGGAUUAGCUAGUUGGUAGGGUAAAAGCCUACCAAGGCGACGAUCCAUAGCUGGUCUGAGAGGAUGAUCAGCCACACUGGGACUGAGACACGGCCCAGACUCCUACGGGAGGGAGCAGUGGGGAAUAUUGGACGAGGGGCGAAAGCCUGAUACAGCAAUGCCGCGUGAGUGAUGAAGGCCUUAGGGUUGUAAAGCUCUUUUACCCGGGAUGAUAAUGACAGUACCGGGAGAAUAAGCACCGGCUAACUCCGUG
rnacentral:rRNA from 1 species